rnacentral:rRNA from 1 species
CCUACGGGAGGCAGCAGUGAGGAAUAUUGGUCAAUGGCCGAGAGGCUGAACCAGCCAAGUCGCGUGAGGGAAGACGGCCCUACGGGUUGUAAACCUCUUUUGUCGGGGAGCAAAGCGAGUCACGUGUGACUCAUUGAGAGUACCCGAAUAAAACGCAUCGGCAAACUCCGUGCCAGCAGCCGCGGUAAUACGGGGGAUGCGAGCGUUAUCCGGAUUUGUGGGGUUAAAGGGGAGCGCAGGCGGAGGUGCAAGUCAGCGGUAAAAUCGCGGGGCUCAACCCCGUACUGCCGUGGAAACUGCAUCUCUUGAGUGCGCGAGAAGUAUGCGGAAUGCGUGGUGUAGCGGUGAAAUGCAUAGAUAUCACGCAGAACUCCGAUUGCGAAGGCAGCAUACCGGCGCGCAACUGACGCUCAUGCACGAAAGCGUGGGUAUCGAACAGGAUUAGAUACCCCUGUAGUC